rnacentral:rRNA from 1 species
UGCAACGCGAAGAACCUUACCUGGUCUUGACAUCCCGGAGACCCUUAGGAAACUAGGGGUGCUUCCAUCUGGAAGAAUCUGGAGACAGGUGCUGCAUGGCUGUCGUCAGCUCGUGUCGUGAGAUGUUGGGUUAAGUCCCGCAACGAGCGCAACCUUGCCUUUAGUUGCCAGCAGUUCGGCUGGGCACUCUAAAGGGACUGCCGGUGUUAAACCGGAGGAAGGUGGGGAUGACGUCAAGUCCUCAUGGCCUUUAUGACCAGGGCUACACACGUACUACAAUGGCCGAUACAAAGGGCAGCGACACUGCGAGGUGAAGCCAAUCCCGUAAAAUCGGUCUCAGUCCGGAUUGGAGUCUGCAACUCGACUCCAUGAAGUUGGAAUCGCUAGUAAUCGUGGAUCAGCAUGCCACGGUGAAUACGUUCCCGGGCCUU